UACGAAGGGGGCUAGCGUUGCUCGGAAUCACUGGGCGUAAAGGGUGCGUAGGCGGGUCUUUAAGUCAGGGGUGAAAUCCUGGAGCUCAACUCCAGAACUGCCUUUGAUACUGAAGAUCUUGAGUUCGGGAGAGGUGAGUGGAACUGCGAGUGUAGAGGUGAAAUUCGUAGAUAUUCGCAAGAACACCAGUGGCGAAGGCGGCUCACUGGCCCGAUACUGACGCUGAGGCACGAGAGCGUGGGGAGCAAACAGG
rnacentral:rRNA from 1 species